rnacentral:rRNA from 1 species
UACGUAGGGGGCAAGCGUUGUCCGGAAUCAUUGGGCGUAAAGAGCGUGUAGGCGGCCAGAAAAGUCCGCUGUGAAAACUCGAGGCUCAACUUCGAGCUGUCGGUGGAAACUUUCUGGCUAGAGUCCGGAAGAGGAGAAUGGAAUUCCUGGUGUAGCGGUGAAAUGCGUAGAUAUCUGGAGGAACACCGGUGGCGAAGGCGGCAUCCUGGACCAAUUCUGACGCUGAGUGAGCGAAAGCCAGGGGAGCAAACGGG